rnacentral:miRNA from 17 species
CUUGGGAAGAGGAAGAAAGAGAGGCUCCAAGAGUAGUAGGACUGGGAACAUAUGAGAAAGCAUGAGCUCUAUCCAUCUAUCCAUCCCCUCCCAUUCGCUAGAAUGUUGCAGGUGGAGAUUUCGCUCUUAUGUUUUCUCGAUGCCUCCCAUUCCUAUCGUUCUUGGAACUUCCUUCCUCUUCCUUUUUUUU